rnacentral:rRNA from 1 species
CCUACGGGUGGCAGCAGUGGGGAAUAUUGCGCAAUGGUCGAAAGCCUGACGCAGCGACGCCGCGUGAAGGAUGAAGGCCCUCGGGUCGUUAAGCUCCUUCUACAGGGGAGCAAUUGCAUCUAAGUAAGCGCUUAUGUAUUGACGGUACCUGCAAAGGAAGCACCGGCUAACUCCGUGCCAGCAGCCGCGGGAAUACGGAGGGGGCGAGCGUUGUUCGGAGUGGAUGGGAGUAAAGCGCACGUGGACGGUAUUGUAAGUCAUGAGUCAAAGACUCGCGCUCAAAUUUAGUAGUGCCGGUGAAACUGAAAUACUGGAGUGUGAGAGAGGAAUGCGGAAUGCCUGGUGUAGCGGUGAAAUGCGUAGAUAUCAGGAGGAACACCGGUUGCGAAGGCGGCAAUCUGGC